GAGAAACUCAAAGUAAAACCACAACAUUCUAGCUGGGAAAUAUGACUGAGAAGAGCACUGAGCCUAAUCUUCAAAAUUGAAUGGAUGAAUUAUGAAUCACUGAAUCAGUCCCUUUCUGCACACCUCUCCCCUGCCAACAGCUGUAUGGACCAACCAUUGCUCUAAGCAGGAAAUUUUCACAUGGCCUGAAAAUUGCACAGCAUGUUAUAUAAAAGAAAAUUACAGCUGUGCAGCAACAACAGCUAUGUGCGCAGAAGCAUUUCAGUUACUCUGCGGCUGUGCACCCAGGCAACUCAGAGGGAACAGUGAACAAGACUUAUUAGCUUCUUCAGUGCACAUGACCAGAAUUGUGAUUUUUAUUACAAUACUUUUUUGCCCAUUUAAUAGUUUUAACCCUAAACUAGAUUGAACCUAUGGUUCAGAAACUAUGCUUCCAUCGAAAUGAUCCAUCCUGGAAUUAAUACUCUACAUUAGCCACUUUCAUCCUAGCUAGUCUCUUGGCUACACAUCAAGCUUUCUAUGUCAACAUUGUCUGUUGAACCAUAUCCUGUGCAACAAGUUCCAUACAGUACAAAGUUGAGCAGAAAUAUCUGCAGGUUUCUGAAAUGAAUCAAGUAACAGCUGGGAGAAGUCCUCUGUUUGUGAGGUCAAGCUCGUUUCUUACUGCUACCAUCAGGCAUAGGGGGGGCCUUAGGUCCCACACCAUCAGGUUCAGGGACAGUUAUUACCCUUCAGGCUCCCAAACCAGCAUGGAUAACUUCACUCACCACAACUCUGAAAUGAUUCCACAAUCUAUGAAUUCCCUUUCAAAGACUCUACAACUCAUCUUUUCAGAAUUAAUUCAUUGCACAUUGGUUGUUUGUCAUCUUUAUGUAUAGUUUUUUUUUAUUGGUUCUAUAGUAUUUCUCUGUUCUACUGUAAAUGCCUGCAAGAAAAUGAAUAAAUUUACUUUGAAUUUUGAAGGUGCAGGAUGGUUGUGGCAAAGCACGUUCAGGCUAAAUCGAGGCGGCUCA